CAGUAGCCGCGGUAAUACGGAGGGGGCUAGCGUUGUUCGGAAUUACUGGGCGUAAAGCGCACGUAGGCGGCUUGGUAAGUUAGAGGUGAAAGCCCGGAGCUCAACUCCGGAAUUGCCUUUAAGACUGCCGAGCUAGUAGGUGAGAGAGGUAAGUGGAAUUCCGAGUGUAGAGGUGAAAUGCGUAGAGAUCGGGAGGAACAUCAGUGGCGAAGGCGGCCAUCUGGGACAACACUGACGCUGAGGCACGAAAGCGUGGGGAGCAAACAGAAUUAGAUACCCGCGUAGUCCCUGUCUCUUAUAC
rnacentral:rRNA from 1 species